UUGAGUUUCUCAUGCCUUCAAUUUACAUUUUUGUUGCUUUCUAUUGGACACAAAAUGGCUUCAGGGCCUCAAAGCCCCUUGAUACAUUUCUUCUGAACGUGAUUUUAUACAUCUCUUGCAGAUUUCCUGAUUGGUGCUUCAGCAACACCUGGGUGAGAAAAUACCGGUGUCUGUACAGGCAGCAUAUAGAAAUGAGCAGUUUUGCUUUUACCUUUGCGAGGAGUGCUGCUGACUUGAGAGGUAUUUUACAACUGACGAAAAGAACAUCAGGAGAGAGCCAGUUCACGUCUCCCGAUAGCGGAGCAGUGCUGAGAGUGCAAGCUGGACGGGCUCUGGGCCGACCGGCGUCUCUCUGGCCCCGUCCCUGGCAGGGCCAGCCCAAAGCUGGAGCCGAAAGCUCUGUAACAAGGUCAGAGUGCGAGGAUCUUGCAUUCCAGAUAUGCUUUGGGGUUGCAAAUGCCAUAAACGGCACAUUUAUCGGAAACAUUCUGAAGAUAAACCCUUAUCGAGCUCCUUAUAAUUACCGGGUUUGGGUGCCUUGUGCUCUGCAAAGGAGAGCAGCAAAAUUUGCUCGAGGAAAAGGCAGGUAUGUAAAAUGCUGCUUACUUUCUCAGGCCACCACCUUGGGAAGGGGUGGAAUUAGCUGCAGCUAAUUAGCUGCAUAGCCUGUAAGUCAUGAUAAGUUUGUGUUGUGUAUAUGGGAGGCUCGCAUGGCCAGUCGUUCUGCAUCAUGGUUACUUUCUUUUUCCCCAGUUAAGCAUGCACUGUGAAGGCAAACAAGUUAAUGUUGAUAAAGUCAAUGCCGAUUCAUUCUGCAUGUUUUGUGAUGCUUUGUAACACGGGACAUUGGUAGGGUGAAAAGUCAUUUGGGAGAAAGGGGGUUGGGACAGGCACGCAGAAGUUUCUCUCUGUCGAGCUGAGAAUUUGCAGCUGAAGCAGUCGCUGGUGCGGGUUUUUCUGGCUCCCCAGCAGUUCUCUGCUUUCAUGGUUCAGGGCUUUCUUGGCCCCAAAGUGUCGGCCGUAGGUGGUGGCUUCUCAUGGUCUGCUUUUAACAGAGGAGGAGAGCGUGGAAACGUUCUGUAGGUUAGGGCUGUGUGUGUGCCCCGAGAAGUCACCUAAGCCUUUAUUUCAAUGGUAAUAUUAAAGAUCCCAGUAAAGGAAAAUAUUGUAUUUUGUGCUGAGCAGAAAUUUAAAUGCUAACAUUACAAAGUUUUUCUUAGCUUUACUGAUGGGAAUGAACACAUUAUCUAAAAAAGUUUCAUUGUCAUGUACUUAUUUGUCUGGUAUUAUUUGGAACUACAAGUUAAAGAAGUUAUGUCCUGGUUAGGAAGUUUUAUACUGCCAUGAUUUUAUCAGUUUUGAACACAAUGCAUUUAAGGUAGAAGAUCACCAUAUAAUAAACCCAGUUACAUGUUACA
rnacentral:lncRNA from 1 species